CCAUAAGUGUAUCCACUGUUCCAAAGGAUGAGAUGGGUGUCUAAGACUAUCCCUCCAUAAAUGAACCUUUUCACUUUCAUAUCUUAGACUACUAGUAAAUAUCUUACAUGUCUUCAAAUCAUCAUCAAGAUAUAAGUUUUUCUUGUAUUCAUAACGCAUCUCAAACACCUCCUUGAAAAUACUCAUUGUUUCCUUCAUUUCAUUCUUCGAGAUUCCAUGAUUCAGAACCUGUUUUGCCAUAAAAAUGCCACGUCCACUUUCAUUAGACAUGUGUCACUAUAUUAAGAAGUUUGAAGAAUUUUUUUCUUUGGAGACUCAAAACGAAAAACUAAUAUUUUUAUAAAAACAAAAAACAAAAAAAAAACCUAUUUAAUCAUUGUUUUUAAAGAAAAACAAAGCAUUUAGUAUGAACCUGAAAGAAUCCAAACUCCUGAGCAGCCUUGAUAAUUUGUUGAAUUGUGUGAUCUCUAUCACCGUUUUGAGCUUCAUUGAGAUCAAUUAUUGGGAUGUUGUUGUUGACUGGGAUAUUGAGAUCCUCCCCUGGCCUUGUUUCUAAUGGGAAUAUGUAGUUCUCAGGCACAGAUUGGACAUUUGACCAGUUUGAAAUAAGUUUCUCCAUAUCCCUUUUAAUUAGUUUGAUUGUAAUUCAGUGCACAAUGAUAUUGUUAUUUAUUGGCAAAAAAUAUGGAGAGGGGUGUAUAAUGUUGACGGGGAAAACCAAUAAAUUAAAUCACGUGCAUUAUUAUUUUAGGUUUUAUUUAGAGGUACUGGUUUAGGUUCUUGACCCUAUAAAAUUGGGAUAUUUUAAGUUGGGAAAUAUUAAAGAGUGUCUUUAUGAUAUUGAUUAAGAGAAAAAUAAUAGAAAUAUUAUUUUUAUUGUGUUGGAAAGUGGUAAAAAGUAAUGAAUUCAACUUUUUUAAAAGUUUAAAAAUUGUAGUUUUUAAUACAAAACUAUUAUUUUUGGUUUCCUUAAUCAUUGUCCUGAGCGCAUCGGUUAUCAAGACCUUAAGUUUAGUAGGACUUAAAAAACUAUUAAAAUUAAGUAAGGAUUAAACUUAGAAACUCUCAAUUUUAUAGGGACUAAAAACAUAUUUAACCCUUGUUAUUAUUACUAGAUCGCACAAACAUGGGUGAAUUAUAUGAAAAAUGUAUUAUCGUUAGUGAUUGAUGAGAUUAAAAUUAAAAUUAUAUUUAUUAAUUCAAUUCAAAAACAAUCUACAUUAAAUUACUCGUAAAACACAUUAAAAAUGAAAUUAGCUUCACCCUUAAGAAUAUUAUAUUAGCAGCACCUUAUCAUUAUUUGGAAAGUGAAAAUACGUAGUAUUUUAACAACUUAACUUGAUAGUUAAUGAAAAACAACAAAAUUUUUUCUUAAAAAAACAACUUAACUUAUUAUGUUGCAUAUUUUAUUUAGCCUCCAUGUUUCUAUUUUAUUGUAGGCUUAAUACAUCUCCCGGUCCUUUAACUUAUUUUAAUUUCUCAAUGUGGUCCCUUAACUAUUAAAUGUUUCAAUUUGGUCCUUAUCUUUGUUUUCGUCAUCGAUUUGGUCCAAUUUUAUUAAUUUUAAAUCCCUAAAAAACAAGACCGUUGGAUAAAGGAAGUUCAUCAUAUCUAACCGUGUACCACCAACACCUAACUAUCUGAAAUUUAAUUUUAAAAAAAAUAUAAAUUCAUUUAUAUUAAUUAGCAUUUUUUAAGGAUAAAGCUUAAUAUUACGUAAAAGUUGCCACAAUCAUCCUCUUAAUUAGCAUUUUUUAAGGAAAAAGUAGUAAAUUAAUUGUCUCAACAAAGAUUGUCAUUCAAUCUGGUAAUUAGCGGAAUCUAUUUAAAAAGUAAAUAAAAAAUGGAUUUGAACGUGGUUGCAAGGUUUUAAUUGUCCUACCCAAUGCAAGAUUAAGUUUUGUUGAUUUAGAAGUUUAACGGCGAUUAGGAAAUCAUUGAAUCCCUCCUCGUCUUUGUUGGAUAAAUUCAAAGCACCUACUAUUUAAGACCUAAGGAUUAUAUAAAUAAUGGUGUUUAAUCACUAAAACAAUUUGGGAUAUAUAUAUAUAUAUAUAUAUAUAUAUAUAUAUAUAUAUAUAUUUGCCAACGUCUGUGUUCUCACAUGUUUAGUUGUACGUUGCAAUAUAAAGGAUCAUUUCAAGGGAAGGGUUGAAGAUAUUGAUAAACGAUGAAGACAGUGUAGAUACUAAUGUAACAUAAGAUGUGAUCUACAUAGAAGUAUUUCGUAAUUUAUCAUAACUAAUGUUGUCUGUAUUAUUUUUCAAAAAUAUGCAUGUUAUAUCGAUAUGAUUAAUUUGGAUCUAUGUUAUGUUUAUCAUACAACUUAUGUGAAAACUUCUUUUAUUUUGGAAUUUUUUUUUAACUAGUAUUAUGGACAAACGAAUUAGUGUUUGUUUGAAUUAGUAGGACCCGUGUAUCACACGGGUCGAUGAUCUAAUAUUUUUUUUUAUAAUAUUGUAUCCGCUUCAAGAUGAGUAUAUAGUUUUUUUUUUUUUUAAGAGCAAGAUGAGCAUAUAGUUAAACCGAGUUUAGAGAGCAUUUUAGCAUCAUAUAAGAGGCCUAAUUUUUUUUCCUCUGAACAUCCCGAUUCUAAGAAAGUAAAGUACCAAUAAAAUUUAAGUUUAAUUUGCAUAUGAAUUGGACAUAUGCAAUGCUUUAAAACCAUAUGAAUUUAUUGACACUCAUGAGUAAAAAACAUAACAAUAUGAGAUUAUAGUACCAAAUUGAGAAACUGUAUUUAUUUUCUAAAUAAAAGUUUCCUGAUGCAAAUAAAUCCUGAAUUAUUAAAAUAAAAUUAAGGUGUCCAACAACAUUACAUCAUCAAUUUAUUAAAAAAAAACAUUAAUCAUCAAAUCACACUUUUUGCCUUUCACGUUAUUUCAUUUAAUCCUUUGGUUCCUCUUCCUCAUAGGAUUUCAGCACCAUGUCCAUGUCAUAUUGUUUCUGAAAGUAGCGAGUGAGGAACUCCUUGUAUUUGUAAGACUUAUAAAUAGGUGGAUUGUGUUCAUCAAUGAGAUCUUUUGUUGGUUCAAUGAAACAAUCACCUGAUGGAGCUAUAAAAAAGGCAGCAGUUGUACGAGCUUGAUCUGAAUUUGUCACAGCUCUAUGUUCAGCACUUUUUAGCUUACCAUUAGUGAGUAUCUGUAUUCAAUAUUGUAACCCAUCACAAGUCAACAAAAUUUACAGACCUAAAUAAAUUUAAAAGAGACAUGAUUGAAAUGAAAAAAAAAAUGAAAGAUUUCCUUCAAGGGUUUGAUAGUGAUAUUUUGAAGUCAUUGGAGCCAAUCAUUGCUAUUGAAAUCUAUAUUGAAUCUAGAGGAUCAGAGGUGCAGAGGAUUGAGAAAUGAUAUUUUGUACAACCAUUUUCUAAUAACUUUUGUGACAACUUUCUCUAUCAUACUCAUAUUAUAAUUUUACUUUAUCUCUCUAUUGUUUUGGUUUUUGUGUCAAUACAUAAUUUUCUUUGUAAGAGUAUGGUUGUCUAUAUGGUUGUCAAUCAAAUUAAUGUUCAAAUAACAUUGCUCGAGAGGAUUAGAGGGGUCAAGAGGAUCUGAGUAGUCUAGACGAUCAAAGAGGUGCAGAGGAUCAACACCACAAUUGUUCACUAGAGAGGAUGUGAUGCUUAACUGGUAUAGUGUAUAGUUGUUAUGAUGUAUAAAGUGGCGGAGUCAGGAUCAUUACAAAAUCUGGGCAAAAAAUAUUUCAACACAGGUUUACAUAAGAAAUUGCAAGUAAAUAAUCAAAAAAUUUAAAGAAAUUGUCCAAUUUAUAGGGAUUUAUAAAAGAAAUUCAGAGAAAUUUACAUAAAAAAUUGCAAAAUAUUUGGGUCGGAGCCUGAGCAACGCCCAGGCUUUCCGGGCCUUAGAACCGCCCCUGGAUGUAUAUACUAUAGAUUAUAACAAGUUGAUAGAGAUUAGUUAGUUGAAAGUUAAUAACUAGUUGUCAUUAGUUAGUCAGCUAGAGAUUAACUCUUAGUUAGCAUAACCACCUCUAUAUAUACGGUUGCUACAUUAUACAUAUUCUAUCUCUACAAUCUUCUAUCAAAACAAUUUACAUAAUUUUCAUUCAUACUCUCUCAUUUUUCUUCGAAGUUGCAAUUCACCUCACAUUAGUGUGUAGUUCUUCAACCCAGCAUAAACCAUCAAAAUAAUAUCCUUAAAAUGAUAGUAAUUGAUGACAAAUGCAUCAAGUGUACCUGCAAGGCGCAGCCUAUGUUGAUGACAAAUGCAUGAGGAAUGGCAUCAACAGCUAUCCACUCUCCGUCCUUAAGUACUUGAAGGCCACAUAUAUCUUCUUGUUGUAAAACGGUUAUGAGGUAAGCAUCAAAGUGUUUGAUUACACCAAGUGUUAAACUUGGAUCAGGGCAUGGUGGAUAAUGAUUAAGUGAGAUAACCAAUGAGUCACUAAGAUUAUCAUUGUCGAAAUAUCCACACUCCAAACCAAGCCCUUCACUAAUUAAAUUCAUGAUCCUUGAACCCAACUCCUUAAUUUUAACUGAAUAAUUCCCAACACACUCUCUGCAAAAAAAAAAAAAAAAAAAGAUCUUUAACUACAUGUGCAAAUUAGAGGUGACAAGUGAUAGCCCGUAAAUAAGUUGGUUAUCACAUUCCAGUUAGCCCCUAUAAUAGAUAAGUAAUGGAAUGAUUGCAAUGUCUUAAACAUUUAAUCAAUGUCUAUUUUAGGAUUUUAUAGUUUUAAAUAUUUUUAGUACUUUGAAACUAGUAAUGCUUGUUUAUGAUGUUUGAUGAUGUAGGUUAAGGAAUGACUCUAAAGAUGUGGGAAGCUGCAGCGUGGAUUGAAGAUGUAUCACUGAAGAUGUGAAAAGUUGCAGCGUCCUAGGACUCUAGCUGGGUCGUACAUAGUACGAGUGCGUGAGUUCAGUCUCUCCUUGCUUAAUGAGGAAUAAUAUGAGUUGUCCUCAAUGAAUGAAAUCCUAGGAAAAAUAAAAGAAUAUGCCAAUAUUUGAUAAGGAGUGAUGAAUAAGGACAACCCAUGUACUAUAAAAGGACCCCAUGUGUUAGUGCCAAGGUCCGAAAAUUCAUCAUAGAAUUGGAGAUGCCAGGUUACGGCUAGGGUUAACAAAUUUAGAGAUAUUUUCAUUGAUAUUUUCUAAGUAAUAAUUAAUUGGGUUAAAUAAGUAAAUGGUCCCCUUAAAUAUACUAAUAUUUGAUUUUAGUUUCCUUAAAAUAUUCUUUAGGUUUUUUGUCCCUCCAAAUAUUUCAUCCAUGAAAUUAGUCCCUGUUCUCAAUGUAGAGCAUGGACUAAUUUCAUGGAUGAAAAUUUUUAAAGAAAUCAAAAAUCUAAGGAAUAUUUUGAAGGGACUAAAAUGAAAUGUUGGUAUAUUUAGAUGAUUAUUUACUUAUUUAACCCUAAUUAAUUUGAGACAAAAAUAUCAAAUGAGAUCUGUAUGUAGUUGGCAUACAUAUAUUCAUGCAUUUACCUGUAUGUAGUUGGAUAUUCAGGCCACAAGUGUCAUUUACAAGGGUCAAGAGAUAAGACAAUAUAUCAGUUACUCUUAGCCCUCAUUAUAAAGGUUGGAUCAUCUGCAAAUGUAGAGAGUUCUGCAUUGGAGGUAACAAUUAAUGUACAAAUUUUAUGUAUAGCCAUUAUAAUCUCUGGUAUGUUUUAAGAGUAGGUGUUGUUUAAAAAAAAAUGCAUGUUAUCAAGAAUAACAUUUCUGAUAUAUGUUAAUAACUAGAUGCGCAAAAUUUACUUUAACAUGACAUAUAUCGAGUCUUCAAGAGAAAAAUCAUUUUUGCAGCAGUAAAUUCUGAAUUGAGUCUAAUUUACUCUGAUAUAUUGUCUUAUCUCUUGACCCUUGUAACUGAUAUAUAUUUUCUUGUAGUAAUUUACCUGUAUGAGUCUAAGUUGGUUAUCAUGUUACACUUAGCCCCUAUAUAGACAAGUAAUCGAGUGAUUGCAAUUUCUUAAACAUCUAAUCACUGUCUAUUUUAAGAUUUUAUAGUUUUAAAUGUUUUUAUUACUUUGGAACUAGUAAUGCUUGUUUAUUAUGUUUGAUGAUGUAGGUUAAGGAAUGACUCUAAAGACGUGGGAAGCUGCAGCGUGGAUUGAAGAUGUAUCGCUGAAGAUGUGAAAGAUGUGAAAAGUUGCAGCGACCUAGGACUCUAGUUUGGUCGUACAUAAUACGAGUGAGUGAGUUCAGUCUCUCCUUGCUUAAUGAGGAAUAAUAUGCGUUGUCCUCAUUGAAUGGAAUCCUAGGAUGAAUAAAAGAAUAUGCCAAUGGGAAGGUAAGAUUGGAUAAGGAGGGAUGGAUAAGGACAACCCAUUUAAAAUGACCAAAAGGUACAACUUGUAGUGGGUGGCCUUGUACUAUAAACGGACCCCCGAGUGUUAAUGCCAAGGUCGGAAAAUUCAUCUUAGAAUUGGAGAGGCCAGGUUACGGCUAGGGUUAACAAAUUUAGAGAUCUCAUUCUAUCUCAUCUUCUCCAUAUACGUCUUUUUAACACCUUUUACGUAUGUGUUUUAAAAAUAGUUGAUAGUGUAAUUAAGGUGUAUAUGAUUAUUGAUAAAUUGAGUAAUGUUAUUUAAACAUAAAUUUUUUGACAACGUAUUCUGAUAUUAUAUAAAAUGCAUCAUUUAUAACUCUGGAUAUCACUUGUGUGAGAGAGAGUAAACGUAAACUAAUCAAUAGUUGAGUUUGUUGAUAGUAUUAAGGGUUAAAUAUAUUUUUAGUCAUUAUAAAUAUAUAAACAUUUUUUUUUUCUUUGACUUUUUUUUUUUUGAUAGAAAAUUUCUUUGACUUUUAAUCCCUCCUAAAGUUUUCAAUCACCAUUUUUUAUACUUAGUUCUAAGUCAACUCAUAUGUAACCUUCAUAUUUUUUAAUGAAAUAUUUUAGAAAUGAUUAGAAUAUUAUAAGAAUCUCUAAAAAAAAUAACAAUAUGAAUUUUUAAGCGCAAAAAAUAUUAAAAAAGUUAUUUUUAAUUCAUGUUUUGUUUAAAAAUUCUACAUUCUUUUAGAGAUUCUUAUAGUAUAGUAUUCUAAACAUUCAAAAAUAUUAUUUUAAAAUAAGAAGCUUAUUCAAGAGUUGACUUAAAAGUAAUGAUCAAAAGUAAUGAUGGGAAAUUCUUAGAGACUAAGAAUCGAAGAAAAUUUUUAAGUGGAUAAAAACAAAAAAUUGAUAUAUUUAUUAGGAUAAAAAACAUAUUUAAAUCUAGCAUUAAUAAGUUAAUAUUUGAAAAAUGAAAUAAGGUUGUAAAUAGUGAAAUUGUUAUGUCAACUAUUUAAUUAAGUAGCGGACUAGUUUAAUAGAUGUUCAUUUAUAUUUUCUAAAUAAUAAUUAAUUGGGUUAAAUAAGUAAAUGGUCCUCCUAAAUAUACAAAUAUUUGAUUUUAGUCCCCCUAAAAUAUUCUUUAGGCUUUUGGUCCCUUCAAAAUUUUUCAUCUAUGAAAUUAGUCCAUGUUCUCAAUGUAGAGCAGGGAUUAAUUUUAUGGAUGAAAAAUUUUAGAGGAACCAAAAACAUAAAAAAUAUUUUAGAGGAAUUAAAAUCAAAUGUUGAUAUAUUUAGGAGGAUUAUUUACGUAUUUAACCCUAAUUAAUUUGAGACAGAAAUAUCAAAUGAGAUCUGUAUGUAGUUGACAUACAUAUAUUCAUGCAUUUACCUGUAUGUAUUUGGAUAUUCAGGCCACAAGUGUUGCCACUCCUCCAAAGGAUAAGCUGGAUGUCGAAGAGAGUCCCUCCAUAGAUGAACCUUAUCACAUUCAUAUUUCAAGGUGCUAGAAAACAUCUUGCAUGUCUUCAAAAUCUCCUCAGGAUACAAGUCGUGCUUGUAUUCAUUAGGCUUCUCAAACACCUCCUUGAAAAUACUCAUUGUUUCCUUCAUUUCAUCCAACGAGAGACCAUGAUUGAUAACCUAUUUUAAUCAAAGAAAUUUUGGGACUUCUAUUAGACAUGUGUUGACAUGUGUUGCUAUAGUAUAAUGAGCACUAAAAUUACUAAUGAAAAAUAUGUAGGGGCGAAAGUUUGAAGAAAUAUUUUGUAAGAACUAAAAAAAAAACUUACUCCCUCAGUCCUAUAAUAAUCCAGCCAUUUGCAACAAAAAAAAAUUGUAUUUCAUUUUUCAAUACAAUAUUAAUUACUUUUUUCUCUUUAUAACUCUAGUUAAUACUACUUUCAUCACUCACAAUCUACGAAGCAUGGAUACGGACACCGGACACGACACGGACACCGCGUCGACACAUCUAAUUUUUUUUAGAAAAUCACAUAAUUCAGUGUAAUUAUAUGUGUCGGUGUCGGACACCACAUGUGUUUGACACGAGGAUACGCAUUAUUCGAGGAGUGUCCAUGCUUCAUAGCUUCAAAUUCAAUAUAUACCACUUUGCAUUUAUGAUAGUAGAGAAUACAUCAAUAUUUAACAAAAGCACUUAAAACUAUUUUUCUCUCUCAUUUAUUUAUGAGAAAUGCUAAAACGCACGAAAUUAUUUGUCGUCAUUUUUGUACGAAAAAGUGUAUACUUAUUAUUUAGUUCUUUAUCUUAAUUUUAAUUUGACACAAAGUGACAAACUUUGCCUCUUCUAGAUAUAUCUUAUGAUAAAUCACAAAAAUACCUCAUUGGUGGUGCUUCUCCAAGUUUACUGUUGUCAGUCCCUGCCUCACCAAUGUCAUGUAAACCGGUGGAUCAUGCAUGUAAUUUCUUUGGUAACAUGGCUUUUUAAUACAUAUUUUUAUACAAAAGUAUCAAAAAACCAGCAUGAAAUCCAUUACCAAAAUAAAUUGCAUGUUGUAUAGCUUGUUGUGUGAUUUCGUGUGUAAAUUCUAUCGUACUGUAUAACAGCGCUCUUUAUUUAUACAUUUUUCUUAAUACGUAUGAAAUGAGUAAAUGACUCAGUUAAUCCGGGACGGUGGGAAAUUUAAAAUGAAAAACAAAAAAUUUAGUAUGAAUACCUGAAAGAAUCCAAACUCCUCAGCAGCCUUGAUAAUUUGUUGAAUUGUUUUGGUUCUAUCACCAUUUUGUGCUUCACUAAGAUCAAUUAUUGGGAUGGUUUUGUUGAUUGGGAUUUUGAAAUUCCCUGGUCUUGUUUCUUGUGGGAAUACAUAGUCCUCAGGCACAGAUUUGAUGCUUGACCGGUUUGAAACAAAUUUCUCCAUAUCUCCUUGAAGUAGCUUGAUUAUGCUUUAUUAGUAUACAAUACACAGUGAUAUAUAUAGUAAUGGCAAAAACUGAAUGUGAUGUAUCAUUAACAUCAUCAUUAUUAUUAGUUGUUACUUGUAAAAGGUUUUCAUCUUUGGAUUGGCCAGAUUGCUGGUCCCAUGGAAUUGUGGUGGUUCUAGUGUGUGUAUGGUUUGAGGUGCUGUGGCUUUGUAUCUACAUCUACAUCAAUGUACUCAUAAAUGUCACUAACUAAUCAAAGCUGGACUCAUAAAUGUCACUAACUAAUCAAAGCUGGACUCAUAAAUGUCACUGACUAAUCAAAGCUGGACUAUAUUUUUUUUUAAUAAAUAGGCAAUUAGGCCCAUGAAAUUGUAAGUUUCAUCAAUUAUCCUCCUGAAAUUAUAAGUUUCAUCAAUUACCUCCCUGAAAUUAACAAAAUUUCAAUUACCCCUCUGAAAUUUCACAACGUUAAUCAAUUUACCCCUCCGUCAAAUUUUUCUGUUAGUGAACAUGACGUUUUGCAAAUAUCCCCCUGAAGUUUUGCACUUAUGUGCAAAAUGCCCCCCAAACUUAAAAAUUUAUAUUAUUUUUUUCUUAAAGACAAACAAUUAACGAUUCAAUAUUAAAGCUAACUAUUAAUUUUGGAGUUUGGAAAAACUACAAGCAUAUAUACAUCAAAAUAGGGAAAAAUGUGUAUUUUUAAAGUGACAAUAAUGGUUAUUUCUAAUAGACAAAUUAUUAUUUUUAGGGGUUUANNNNNNNNNNNNNNNNNNNNNNNNNNNNNNNNNNNNNNNNNNNNNNNNNNNNNNNNNNNNNNNNNNNNNNNNNNNNNNNNNNNNNNNNNNNNNNNNNNNNNNNNNNNNNNNNNNNNNNNNNNNNNNNNNNNNNNNNNNNNNNNNNNNNNNNNNNNNNNNNNNNNNNNNNNNNNNNNNNNNNNNNNNNNNNNNNNNNNNNNNNNNNNNNNNNNNNNNNNNNNNNNNNNNNNNNNNNNNNNNNNNNNNNNNNNNNNNNNNNNNNNNNNNNNNNNNNNNNNNNNNNNNNNNNNNNNNNNNNNNNNNNNNNNNNNNNNNNNNNNNNNNNNNNNNNNNNNNNNNNNNNNNNNNNNNNNNNNNNNGAGAAAUGCUAAAACGCACGAAAUUAUUUGUCGUCAUUUUUGUACGAAAAAGUGUAUACUUAUUAUUUAGUUCUUUAUCUUAAUUUUAAUUUGACACAAAGUGACAAACUUUGCCUCUUCUAGAUAUAUCUUAUGAUAAAUCACAAAAAUACCUCAUUGGUGGUGCUUCUCCAAGUUUACUGUUGUCAGUCCCUGCCUCACCAAUGUCAUGUAAACCGGUGGAUCAUGCAUGUGCUUUCUUUGGUAACAUGGCUUUUUAAUACAUAUUUUUAUACAAAAGUAUCAAAAAACCAGCAUGAAAUCCAUUACCAAAAUAAAUUGCAUGUUGUAUAGCUUGUUGUGUGAUUUCGUGUGUAAAUUCUAUCGUACUGUAUAACAGCGCUCUUUAUUUAUACAUUUUUCUUAAUACGUAUGAAAUGAGUAAAUGACUCAGUUAAUCCGGGACGGUGGGAAAUUUAAAAUGAAAAACAAAAAAUUUAGUAUGAAUACCUGAAAGAAUCCAAACUCCUCAGCAGCCUUGAUAAUUUGUUGAAUUGUUUUGGUUCUAUCACCAUUUUGUGCUUCACUAAGAUCAAUUAUUGGGAUGGUUUUGUUGAUUGGGAUUUUGAAAUUCCCUGGUCUUGUUUCUUGUGGGAAUACAUAGUCCUCAGGCACAGAUUUGAUGCUUGACCGGUUUGAAACAAAUUUCUCCAUAUCUCCUUGAAGUAGCUUGAUUAUGCUUUAUUAGUAUACAAUACACAGUGAUAUAUAUAGUAAUGGCAAAAACUGAAUGUGAUGUAUCAUUAACAUCAUCAUUAUUAUUAGUUGUUACUUGUAAAAGGUUUUCAUCUUUGGAUUGGCCAGAUUGCUGGUCCCAUGGAAUUGUGGUGGUUCUAGUGUGUGUAUGGUUUGAGGUGCUGUGGCUUUGUAUCUACAUCUACAUCAAUGUACUCAUAAAUGUCACUAACUAAUCAAAGCUGGACUCAUAAAUGUCACUAACUAAUCAAAGCUGGACUCAUAAAUGUCACUGACUAAUCAAAGCUGGACUAUAUUUUUUUUUAAUAAAUAGGCAAUUAGGCCCAUGAAAUUGUAAGUUUCAUCAAUUAUCCUCCUGAAAUUAUAAGUUUCAUCAAUUACCUCCCUGAAAUUAACAAAAUUUCAAUUACCCCUCUGAAAUUUCACAACGUUAAUCAAUUUACCCCUCCGUCAAAUUUUUCUGUUAGUGAACAUGACGUUUUGCAAAUAUCCCCCUGAAGUUUUGCACUUAUGUGCAAAAUGCCCCCCAAACUUAAAAAUUUAUAUUAUUUUUUUCUUAAAGACAAACAAUUAACGAUUCAAUAUUAAAGCUAACUAUUAAUUUUGGAGUUUGGAAAAACUACAAGCAUAUAUACAUCAAAAUAGGGAAAAAUGUGUAUUUUUAAAGUGACAAUAAUGGUUAUUUCUAAUAGACAAAUUAUUAUUUUUAGGGGUUUAAAGACAAAUUAAUAAUCAGUUUUAAAUUUAUAUUUUCUCCUUCACCAUCUUAGUCUUUUAACUCCUCCAACUCCUUCAACAAUUUGCUCAAACCAUUUAAACUACAUAACCCCCAAUAUUUUUAUAUGAUUUGUUCUUGUUUAGACACUUUAUAGAAAACUUCAUUCUAACUUCUUGUUUGUGCUUCAGGUAGGGACAAUCAUUCAUCGUAUACAAUCUAGCUCACACCACAAUACUAUCAGACCGACAUAUCAUAUAUAGCAUAUUAAGUAAUAUUCAUGUAAAAAAGACACAAAUCAUCAACAAAUGAAAUAUGCGAUCGGUAUGUAUAGAGGAACACUUAUUGAGAAAUGUCAAACACUUAGACAUAUAUUUAUUUACCUUUGAAAUUAAUUCACAAAUCAUCCCAUUAUUGUCACUUUAAAAAAAAUACACAUUUUUCCCCAUUUUGAAGCCUAUUUUGAUGUAUAUAUGCAUGCAGUUCUUCCAAAUUCUAAAAUUAAUAGUUAGUUUUAAUAUUUAACUAUUAAUUGUUUGUCUUUAAGAAAAAAAUAUUAUAAAUUUUUAAGUUUGGGGGCCUUUUGCACAUAAGUGCAAAACUUCAGGCGGGUAUUUGCAAAACGUCAUGUUCUCUAACAGAAAAAUUUGACGGAGGAGGUAAAUUGAUUAACGUUGUGAAAUUUCAGGGGAGUAAUUGAAGUUUUAUUAAUUUCAUGGGAGUAAUUGACGAAACUUACAAUUUCAGGAGGUAAUUACCUAUUUACUCAUAUUUUUUUUCUUAACGUGAAUGUAUAUUAAUGUUUUUUUAAAUAGACAAAAUGAAAAUAAUUAUUGGAUACUCAUCCACAUAAACGGAGGAGUUAAAACUCAAAUUUCUGUUUACAACGUUCAAGUUUAGCAAUUUUGAAAGUUUCAUCACUUAAACUAGAACUUGUAGACAACAUAAAUAUAUUUAAUAUUUGCUAUAUUGUACAUUAUAAAUUCAAUUGUCAAAGAAUUCUGAUUGAUAUGUUUUGUUACUUUUCAAAUUUUGUUUUAUUGUUUUAGCUUUUUUGUUUUGGGAGUUUGAUUUUAUUGGCUAAGUGUUUGUUUCUAUUAUAUUAUUAUUCUGUUCUUUUUAUUGUCUUAGUUUUAUACUAUCUUUUUUUAUUUUAUUACAAGUUAUACUCCUAUAGUUAUUGCUCUUAUUUUGGUUGGAUGAAGGGGGUAUAACAAAGUUAACCAUUAGAGAGAAUUAAGAAAUCGUGAAGUCUUCAAGUUACUUGAAUUAUUGGCAAUUGAAGUUUUCAUGAAACGAUUUGAGUCAAAAGAAAGAUCAAUAGGCAUUCAGCCAUUUUAGAAUCAAACUUUAUACAACACAUGACACACCUUUGCUAUAAUUUGCAUCACGUAUGGUAACCCCAUGUGAAACAACCAAAAUUCUUCCAAAACAUAUAUGGACAUAUACUUUUAUUGCCAUAUUUUCUUUUCUUCAUAGGGGAUUGUGGUUUUCUUGGUUUACUUGGUGUUGUAUUGGUGACUUUGAUUUCAAAAACGAAGGGGAAGGGUGCACUAUAAAAAAAAAAAAAAAUAGAUAUUUCUUCUGUCUUUAAAUUAUAGUCGUUUAAGAUUUAUGCACGAUUAUUAAGGAAAUGAUUAAUUGUGUUGAUUUUAAGGGUAAAAUUUAUAUUAUUUACUAAAAUAUCAUUAUUAAUUAUAGUUAGUGAAAUAGUUAAGUUAGAUGAAAUUCAAUAAAUAAAGGUAUAAUAAUGAAAGAAAAAAAAUACAUGAUGCAUUGGUAUUCUAAAGUGAUAAUUAUUUUAAGAAAAAGAAAAAUGAUAAAGAGACAAUUAUCGUGGAUAUGCAUUGGAAAGGGAAGAAGGUGGGUGGGGGGAUGAUAAAGGUUGUCAAAGUAACCCAUAGACAGGGUUCUUAGGUAAAUAAAAGCAAUUAAUAUAUCCAUGAAAUUUAAAAUUUAAUGAGCCACAAUUUCAUUUCUUUUUUCUUUAGGGGAGUCACAAUUUCAUCUUAUAAAACUUACAAUAAGUAAUUCCACAAAAAAAAAAAAACUUACAAUAAGUAAGUCUAUUUUAUAAUGUAACAAAAAAAAGUCUAUUUAUAACAUCAUGUUUUACAAUGCAUUUUUUUUUUUUUUUAAGGAAUCAUGCUUUAUAAUUUUUAUUUUUUUUGAAGAAGUUAAAUUAGCUUAUCCAAAUUGAUACCGGAGAGAACCAUCAGACCAAUUCAAGUGGGUUCAUGUUUUACAAUGUUGUUUCCUUUUUGCAUCAGACAUGCUAAUUGUAAAACAUAAAUAUUUGAAUCAAUCAUUAAGUGUAUUUUAACCACUUGAUUAAGUGGUUAAACUCAUAUCCUCAUGUAAAUCAACGAGAGUGUAACCUUUAUAGCCUGACUUGUAUCCCAAGAAAAAAGUUUUUCUAGCUCUAGAUUGAAGUUUAGUUCUAUGGACAGAAAGAGAAGUAGCAUAACACAGACAACCAAAAACUUUGAAAGUUGAAAUGUCAGGUAAUUUGUAGUAAAGAACUUGAUAAGGACACUUAUGAUUAAGGGUAUGAGUGGUGAUACGGUUAAUGAGGAAAAUUGCAUGAGAAACUGCAUAAGAUCAAAAAGAGGAGGGUAGUUUGGAUUGGAAUAAAAAAGUGCUCUACCAACAUUUAAAAUGUGUUGGUUUUUUUUUUCUACCCUACCUUUUUGUUGAGGAGUAGCAACACAAGAUUUUUGAUGGAUAAUGCCAAGGGAAUCAUAAAAGGUUGGAAGGAUAAACUCAUGGCCAUUGUCUGAUCUGACAUCUUUAGGAGUGAUAUAAAACUGGUUUUGAAUCAUGGCAAUGAAACAUUGGACAUGGUGAGAAACUUCAGCUUUGGGUUCAAGGAGAAUAAUCCAAAGAAACCUAUUAUGAUCAUCAACAAUGGUAAGGAAGUAUUUGUGACCAUGAACAGAAGGUACAGAUAAGGGACCCCAAAUAUCAAAGUGUAGCAAUUCAAAAUUAGAAGAUGCAUUAGAAUUACUAGAUUCAAAAGGAAGAUGCUUUUGUUUAGCAAAAUGAUAGACAUCGCAAAUUGAAUUAUUAUCAGAAACAAUAUUGGAGUACAAAGUUGACAUCUUAUUCACUCUUUGAUGAGAUAAGUGUCCCAAUCUGAAGUGCAAUAAGGCUUUAUUGGGAAUAACAACAAUACUUGAAUUACAAGAAAUUGAAGAAAUUGCAUUACAAAUUUAUUGAUAUGACUAGAAAGAUCACUAGCAGAAACUAAAGAUAGAGAAUGGAGUAUGUAUAAACCAUCCACUUGUUUAGCCAAAUCAAUCUGCUUCAUUGAGAAUUGGUCAUGUAUAAUGCAUUGAGUAUGUGAGAAUUGCACAAAACAAGAUAAAGAAUGACACAAUUUGGCUACAUAGAUAUGAUUCAACUUAAAGGAAGGAGAAUAAAGAGCAUUGGUGAGAUAAAGCUGAGAACUAAAAGAAACAAUGUCAUCAUGAUUAACAAGGAUAGAGGUACCAUUAGGUAAAUUGACAUGAACAUGCUUAAUCUGAUAAAAUGAAGUAAAAGAAGCUAAGUUGCCAUAUAUGUGCUCAUUACCCCCAGAAUGUAAUAACCAAUGUGAGGUAGAAGGAAAAAAACAAGAAUGAGUAUUCAGAUUACCUACAGAAGAAGAAGCAGCAGUGUAAUUGGAGGAAACUUGAGGAGAAACACUAAUAUGGUUGGUAGUAGGGUCAGAUGUAGAAGCAGGAACUGAGGUAAACAAAUUUGUCUGCUGCAACAAGAAGAUAAGCUGAUCCAUCUUUUCUUGAGACAAACCAGUACUACCAGAAGAGUUGCUUGCAUCUGAAGCUUCAUUCGAAGUAGCAUUGGCCUGUGAAAUCUUCUUGUUCACAUUAGGAUAGCCAUGCUUUUGAUAGAAAAAGUCAAUUGUGUGAUUGUGUCUAUUUCAAAAAAUGCAAAACCUUGAUGAAGGUUUAGUGAAUGAACAUUUACCACGCCCUUAAGGUUUCUUUGCAUCAUAUGCAUUAACAAGCACAUUAUCUUCAGCAAGAGAAGGGAGUGAAAGAAGAGAAGUAUUAUUACUUUCUUCUUGUAAAACCAAAGAGAAAUUCUUAUUCAAGGUAGGCAAUGGAUCCAUCAAUAAGACUAGAGUCUUCACAGCAAAAAAUUGCUUAUUGAUGCUAGUUAAAAACUGAAUGAUUUGGUCCUCAUUUCUAUAUGUGUCAGUAACCUUAAGAGCAUCACAUCAACAUUGAUGAUGACAGUACAAUUUGGGAGAGGAGGAUGAGAAUGUAAUUCUUCCCACAAAGCUUUCAUUUCAGUGAAAUAAUCCAACACAAAUUUGGUAUUUUGCCUAAGAUUGUUAAUUUAAUUCCAGAACGCAAAUUGGCAAUUCUAAUACGAUCAAUCUUAGAAAAACGUUCCUUCAAAUCCUCCCAAAAAUCAAAAGCAUUAUCAUGAAACAAUAUAGUUUGAGAAAUUGAAUCAGAAACAGAAUUAAUAAUCCAAGACUAUACCAAAUGAUUGCAUCUUUCCGAAGCAUUACGAUUGAGGUCAUCAUGAUCAGGUACAGGUAGAGUUCCAUUGAUAAAGGGAAGCUUGUUCUUAACACCCAAAGCACGCUGCAUUGAUCUACUCCAUGCAAGAUAAUUGGAUCCAUUGAACUUAGGAGACACAAUCACCGAAUUAGGUCCUUCACUAUGAUGAACAAAGAAAGCAGAAUCAGUAUCAUUGUUGCUGUUGUUGAUUCGAAGCACGAACCAUCAUUCCAAAUCAGAGGAAGAAGAUGAAGAUCUUCGUAAGAAAUAAAUGCAGAGAAGCAAUACGCAAAGCUUGCGAAGGAAGAAAGAGAAGAAUCUCAAUACAAAAUUGAGAACAAAACAAGAAGAAUCAUGAAGAGAAAGAGAAAGAAAACUGAUACCAUAUUAUAAAUGAUAGAAAUAAUAUGUAAUUGCUUGAUGAAUCAGAGAGUACAACAACUAUUUAUAGGUAGUUGAUGCUGUACAAUACAUAUGAUGGACUAGCAUCAGCAUAUUAAAGCUACUACUAAGGUAAGCUAAGUUGCUUGUGGUCUAAGCUAUCUAAACCACUCUUAUUAUGUAAUAUAAAUAAAUCCUGAAUUAUUAAAAAAAUAAAAAAUAAGGAGUCCAACAACAACUCUUACAACAUCAAUUUAUUAAAAAAAAAAAUUACAUAAUCGAAUGAUACUUUUUGCCUUUCACAAUAUUUCAUUUAAUCCUUUGGUUCCUCUUCCUCAUAGGAUUUCAGCACCAUAUCCAUAUCACCAUGUUUCUUAAAGAAGCGAGUGAGCAACUCCUUAUAUUCGUAAGACUUAUAAAUAGGUGGAUUGUGUUCAUCAAUGAGAUCUUUUGUUGGUUCAAUGAAACAAUCACCUGAUGGAGCUAUAAAAAAGGCAGCAGUUGUGCGAGCUUGUUCUGAAUUUGUCACAACUCUAUGUUCCACACUUUUUAGCUUACCAUUAGUCAUUAUCUGUAUCCAAUAUUGUAACCCAUCACAAGUCAACAAAAUUUACCAAAUUACAUAAAUUAAUAAGAGACAUGAUUGAAAUGAAAAAAAUACAAAAAAUUUCCUUCAUGUGAGAUAGUGAUAAAUUAGUCCCUAGGGUUAUUAAUUUUUAAAGAAUUAAUGCAUUAAGUGUACCUGCAAGGCGUAGCCUAUGUUGAUAACAAAUGCAUGAGGAAUAGCAUCAACAGCAAUCCACUCUCCAUCCUUAAGUACUUGAAGGCCACAUAUAUCUUCUUGUUGUAAAACGGUUAUGAGGUAAGCAUCAAAGUGUUUGGUUAUACCAAGUGUUAAACUUGGAUCAGGGCAUGGUGGAUAAUGAUUAAGUUGGAUAACUAAUGAGUCACUAAGAUUAUCAUUGUCGAAAUAUCCACACUCCAAACCAAGCCCUUCACUAAUCAAAUUCAUGAUCCUUGAACCCAACUCCUUAAUUUUAGUUGAAUAAUCCCCAACACACUUUCUGCAAGAAAAAAAUGUCUAUUAGAUCUUUAACUGCAUGUGCAAAUUAGGGGUGACAAUGUGAAUAAAUUGAAUACAAUUUAACUUGGAUUGUGUAUUGGAUGGAUUGAACAACCCAUUAAUCUAUUUAUAAUCAACUACCCACUUAGGUUAGUCUGGUGGUAUUGACUUAGGACAUGAGAUUGUGCUCCUCCUCAAGAUCUCCCAAAGUCUUAUGACCAACGGCUCAUAAGGGUUUGCACUUGCCCGCAGCUCCUGACGCCCGCUUGGCGGGCGGAGCGCUCGUUAUCCUUACAGUUCUCUAUGCCGGGGCCCCCUCCCAUUGCUCUAGCCAUAAGUUGUGGCAACUCCAGCUCGAAACCAAAGGGGCCCGCCCUGCAAGGCUAGAGUGAGCUCAGUGGUCAUGUUUAAUUCUCCCCGAUACUAAUUUGAAUGAGUUAAUUUAGCUUUUUCAAAAAAAAAAAAAUUAUAAUCCAUGGAAAACUUCCUAAAACAACUAAAUCAAACCAUCAUCCGGACCAAACAAUCACCUAAUCCAUUUAUUUAUAUUUUGUCCAAUCUAUGCAUAAAAUACUUUAAAAGGAAAAACCUAUUACAAUAUUUUUUUUUUAGUACCACCAGAGCAUCUCCAUUGUGGCUGCAAGUGGUUCUCGGACAUCAAUUUUUGUGGAAAACUGGCGACUUUGUGUUAUUCCUAAAUCAUGACCGUCUUAUUUACCUAAUACGUUGUGAUGCAUUUGAUUUACCAAAAAAACAAAAACUAUGAAUGUUUUAGUUCCUAUUUAUAAGUCUUGUGUGUUUUAAACAGUUAUUAUGUAAUUAAUGUUUGUAUACGAUUGGUUCUUGAAUCGGAUGCCGAGUUUUCGAAAAAAUGUUUAUAUAUGAUUAUUAGAGAGAGAGAGGGAGAGAGGGAGGGAGGGAGAGAGAGAUCAAAUUUAAUUCAUGUUUUGUUAAAAAAAUUAUAUUUUUUUUUUAGAAAAAAUUUCAUUUAAAAAUAUGAAUGUUACACGAGAGUUGACUUCAAGGCAGUGAUCAAAUGUGAUGAUGCAAAUAUUUUAGGAGAAUAAACUCGAAGAAUUUUUUUGGAUAUAUUAAAACACAAAGUUGAUAUAUUUAUAGAGAUAAAAACAUAUUUAACCAUAGUGUUAAUAUUUGGAAAUGAAUAAUAAAUGUAUUUAAAAAUUUGUUGAGGGUUUUUAAUUAUGGACGAGCAAACAUUUUAAAAUUGUCUUAUAAUUAAAGGUCAAAGAGAAUAUGACAAUUCACGAAUUAAUAACCAUUCUAAUGUGAGCAAGCUUAUACUUAUCUUAAUUUGGGCAUAUACUAAUGAAUUUACUCAUCUAACUAAUCAGGGGCGAAUCCACCAUAGAGCUAUGUGUGGCUCUAGCCACACAUGAUUAUACCCUCUUUUUUUUUUUUUUUUUAUUUUUCUUUCAUAUACUAGAUCUCAAACAAUUGAUUAUAACAGUUAUUCUUUCUUUCACAAAAAAAAAAAAAAAAGUUAUAUUAUAUAUAUAUAUAUAUAUAUAUAUUUCUAAAAAAAAAAACAGUUAUAUACUAUAUAUAUGUCUAAAACAUGUGAAGAUUCUUUAUAUGGUCUAUCAGUAUGUAUGGUUGCGUAUAUCAAUACGCAUACAAGACUCUUUUUAGAAAAAAAAUUGUCACUUUUUAUAAGACUGUGUUGAUAUAUAUUUUUAAAUAUAUUAAUUAAUUAUUUACCAACAAACUCCUAUUUAUUUUAUAUUUUUUUCUUCAAUCAGUAUUAAAUACCAUGUUGAAAACAUACACUAACUCUUUCUCUUAAAGAAUAAAAUUGUAAAAACAAUAGCAAUUACAAACAAACUUAUUACCACUUUCAAUUUUCUUAACUCCCGUUAUUUUUUUAAAAGGACCCUAUAAUUAAGGAUAGAGGGAGUAUGAUUUAAUUCAUAGUUUCUUUUAUAAUUCAGUCACACCUAAACAUUAUAUCUAGAUCCAUGCAUGUAACUAAUGUACUUUGUUCAAUCAUUGUUAUAAACAAAACUUUAUUUUGUAUAUUCAUUGAAUAAUAGGUAGUAUUAAUUAGAGAGAUUGCAAGUAGUGAAAUUGUUAUGUCGACUAUUUAAUUAAGUUAAAGACUAGUUAAUAGCUCAAGUAAUAAUCAAUUUGAGAUAGAGAACUAUUACAAAUGAGACCGACCAAGUUUUCAUGCAUUUACCUGUAUGUAGUUGGAUAUUCAGGCCACAAGUGUUGCCACUGUUCCAAAGGAUAAGCUGGGUGUCUAAGAGUGUCCCUCCAAAGAUGAACCUUAUCAAAUUCAUAUUUGAAAGUGCUAGAAAACAUCUUACAUGUCUUCAAAUUGUUCUCAGGAUACAAGUCGUGUUUGUAUUCAUUAGGCUUCUCAAACACCUCCUUAAAAACACUCAUUGCUUCCUUCAUUUCAUCCAACGAGAGACCAUGAUUGAUAACCUAUUUUAAUCAAAAAAAAUGUCGGGAUUUUAUAUUAGACACAUUGUCGGAGCCACGUUGUGGCCAGGGGGUUCAAUUGCACCUUCUCAACUUUUCAUAUUUACACCUAUUUUACUAUAUUUUCAUUGUCUUGAACCCCCUCAAAAUUAAGCCUUGCACCAUAUUGAAUUGACUCUCUCCUCUCUCACUAGGAAAAAGUUGGUAAAGUUGUGUCUGUGCAUACAGUGUGACAAUAAUACAAUGCAGAUUGCCCAAAGUUUAAGUCAAAGUAAAAAAUAUCAUUUUUUUUAACAGCAAAUUUUAUUUAAAAAUCAGAUCCUUGCUCAAGACGAACAGAGACAGGUGAUAUUAUAAAUAUCAUUUUAUAUUAUAAAUUGAUGAUAGAUUGGAAUCAAAACAAAAUAUCUUGAAUGGAAAUUAAAUCUGGAUAUUUAGCAUAGAAAAUGUAUAGAAUAUUUAGCAUUGUGUUUUCAAAUUUUAACUGAUAAAUAUUCUAUGAUGGAAAAAAAUGUAAGAUGUGGAAAUUUUUCUUAAAUAAAUAUAAAUAUAUUUUAAUAUUUAUAAUUUUACGACAUUCAUCUUUAAAUAUAUAAUUUUUCUAUUGUCUCUAAAUAGGCAAACAACUAUGUUGAUCAUCCAUGAAUGUGUGAGACACUCUUAUACUCUUUAAAUGUAUCGAAAAUACAUUUAUAGUGCAUCUUUUUUUGUGUGGUAAUUUUAUAGAUUAAAUUGAACAAUGACAAAACAUAUUCUAAGAUAUAAUUGACUAUCAAAAAACUAAUUUAAUAAAAGAGACGUUUAGAGAUCAAUAUGAUGGCGAAAUACACAUUCAAGGUAAAAAUUUGGUAGGUCGAAAUUUUGAACCCCUUAACUUAGGGUCCUGGCAACACAACUAAAGUUUGCUUAGUAUAUUUUAGAGGAAAAAUAUAUUUAAUCUUAAAAUAGAAAGAGUAUUUAGUAUGAAUACCUGAAAGAAUCCAAACUCCUCAGAAGCCUUGAUAAUUUGUUGUAUUGUUUUGGUUCUAUCCCCAUUUUGUGCUUCACUAAGAUCAAUUGUUGGGAUGGUUUUGUUAAUUGGGAUUUUGAAAUUCCCUGGUCUUGUUUCUUGUGGGAAUACAUAGUCCUCAGGCACAGAUUUGAUGCUUGACCGGUUUGAAAUAAAUUUCUCCNUUUUUUUUUUUUUAAGGAAUCAUGCUUUAUAAUUUUUAUUUUUUUUGAAGAAGUUAAAUUAGCUUAUCCAAAUUGAUACCGGAGAGAACCAUCAGACCAAUUCAAGUGGGUUCAUGUUUUACAAUGUUGUUUCCUUUUUGCAUCAGACAUGCUAAUUGUAAAACAUAAAUAUUUGAAUCAAUCAUUAAGUGUAUUUUAACCACUUGAUUAAGUGGUUAAACUCAUAUCCUCAUGUAAAUCAACGAGAGUGUAACCUUUAUAGCCUGACUUGUAUCCCAAGAAAAAAGUUUUUCUAGCUCUAGAUUGAAGUUUAGUUCUAUGGACAGAAAGAGAAGUAGCAUAACACAGACAACCAAAAACUUUGAAAGUUGAAAUGUCAGGUAAUUUGUAGUAAAGAACUUGAUAAGGACACUUAUGAUUAAGGGUAUGAGUGGUGAUACGGUUAAUGAGGAAAAUUGCAUGAGAAACUGCAUAAGAUCAAAAAGAGGAGGGUAGUUUGGAUUGGAAUAAAAAAGUGCUCUACCAACAUUUAAAAUGUGUUGGUUUUUUUUUUCUACCCUACCUUUUUGUUGAGGAGUAGCAACACAAGAUUUUUGAUGGAUAAUGCCAAGGGAAUCAUAAAAGGUUGGAAGGAUAAACUCAUGGCCAUUGUCUGAUCUGACAUCUUUAGGAGUGAUAUAAAACUGGUUUUGAAUCAUGGCAAUGAAACAUUGGACAUGGUGAGAAACUUCAGCUUUGGGUUCAAGGAGAAUAAUCCAAAGAAACCUAUUAUGAUCAUCAACAAUGGUAAGGAAGUAUUUGUGACCAUGAACAGAAGGUACAGAUAAGGGACCCCAAAUAUCAAAGUGUAGCAAUUCAAAAUUAGAAGAUGCAUUAGAAUUACUAGAUUCAAAAGGAAGAUGCUUUUGUUUAGCAAAAUGAUAGACAUCGCAAAUUGAAUUAUUAUCAGAAACAAUAUUGGAGUACAAAGUUGACAUCUUAUUCACUCUUUGAUGAGAUAAGUGUCCCAAUCUGAAGUGCAAUAAGGCUUUAUUGGGAAUAACAACAAUACUUGAAUUACAAGAAAUUGAAGAAAUUGCAUUACAAAUUUAUUGAUAUGACUAGAAAGAUCACUAGCAGAAACUAAAGAUAGAGAAUGGAGUAUGUAUAAACCAUCCACUUGUUUAGCCAAAUCAAUCUGCUUCAUUGAGAAUUGGUCAUGUAUAAUGCAUUGAGUAUGUGAGAAUUGCACAAAACAAGAUAAAGAAUGACACAAUUUGGCUACAUAGAUAUGAUUCAACUUAAAGGAAGGAGAAUAAAGAGCAUUGGUGAGAUAAAGCUGAGAACUAAAAGAAACAAUGUCAUCAUGAUUAACAAGGAUAGAGGUACCAUUAGGUAAAUUGACAUGAACAUGCUUAAUCUGAUAAAAUGAAGUAAAAGAAGCUAAGUUGCCAUAUAUGUGCUCAUUACCCCCAGAAUGUAAUAACCAAUGUGAGGUAGAAGGAAAAAAACAAGAAUGAGUAUUCAGAUUACCUACAGAAGAAGAAGCAGCAGUGUAAUUGGAGGAAACUUGAGGAGAAACACUAAUAUGGUUGGUAGUAGGGUCAGAUGUAGAAGCAGGAACUGAGGUAAACAAAUUUGUCUGCUGCAACAAGAAGAUAAGCUGAUCCAUCUUUUCUUGAGACAAACCAGUACUACCAGAAGAGUUGCUUGCAUCUGAAGCUUCAUUCGAAGUAGCAUUGGCCUGUGAAAUCUUCUUGUUCACAUUAGGAUAGCCAUGCUUUUGAUAGAAAAAGUCAAUUGUGUGAUUGUGUCUAUUUCAAAAAAUGCAAAACCUUGAUGAAGGUUUAGUGAAUGAACAUUUACCACGCCCUUAAGGUUUCUUUGCAUCAUAUGCAUUAACAAGCACAUUAUCUUCAGCAAGAGAAGGGAGUGAAAGAAGAGAAGUAUUAUUACUUUCUUCUUGUAAAACCAAAGAGAAAUUCUUAUUCAAGGUAGGCAAUGGAUCCAUCAAUAAGACUAGAGUCUUCACAGCAAAAAAUUGCUUAUUGAUGCUAGUUAAAAACUGAAUGAUUUGGUCCUCAUUUCUAUAUGUGUCAGUAACCUUAAGAGCAUCACAUCAACAUUGAUGAUGACAGUACAAUUUGGGAGAGGAGGAUGAGAAUGUAAUUCUUCCCACAAAGCUUUCAUUUCAGUGAAAUAAUCCAACACAAAUUUGGUAUUUUGCCUAAGAUUGUUAAUUUAAUUCCAGAACGCAAAUUGGCAAUUCUAAUACGAUCAAUCUUAGAAAAACGUUCCUUCAAAUCCUCCCAAAAAUCAAAAGCAUUAUCAUGAAACAAUAUAGUUUGAGAAAUUGAAUCAGAAACAGAAUUAAUAAUCCAAGACUAUACCAAAUGAUUGCAUCUUUCCGAAGCAUUACGAUUGAGGUCAUCAUGAUCAGGUACAGGUAGAGUUCCAUUGAUAAAGGGAAGCUUGUUCUUAACACCCAAAGCACGCUGCAUUGAUCUACUCCAUGCAAGAUAAUUGGAUCCAUUGAACUUAGGAGACACAAUCACCGAAUUAGGUCCUUCACUAUGAUGAACAAAGAAAGCAGAAUCAGUAUCAUUGUUGCUGUUGUUGAUUCGAAGCACGAACCAUCAUUCCAAAUCAGAGGAAGAAGAUGAAGAUCUUCGUAAGAAAUAAAUGCAGAGAAGCAAUACGCAAAGCUUGCGAAGGAAGAAAGAGAAGAAUCUCAAUACAAAAUUGAGAACAAAACAAGAAGAAUCAUGAAGAGAAAGAGAAAGAAAACUGAUACCAUAUUAUAAAUGAUAGAAAUAAUAUGUAAUUGCUUGAUGAAUCAGAGAGUACAACAACUAUUUAUAGGUAGUUGAUGCUGUACAAUACAUAUGAUGGACUAGCAUCAGCAUAUUAAAGCUACUACUAAGGUAAGCUAAGUUGCUUGUGGUCUAAGCUAUCUAAACCACUCUUAUUAUGUAAUAUAAAUAAAUCCUGAAUUAUUAAAAAAAUAAAAAAUAAGGAGUCCAACAACAACUCUUACAACAUCAAUUUAUUAAAAAAAAAAAUUACAUAAUCGAAUGAUACUUUUUGCCUUUCACAAUAUUUCAUUUAAUCCUUUGGUUCCUCUUCCUCAUAGGAUUUCAGCACCAUAUCCAUAUCACCAUGUUUCUUAAAGAAGCGAGUGAGCAACUCCUUAUAUUCGUAAGACUUAUAAAUAGGUGGAUUGUGUUCAUCAAUGAGAUCUUUUGUUGGUUCAAUGAAACAAUCACCUGAUGGAGCUAUAAAAAAGGCAGCAGUUGUACGAGCUUGAUCUGAAUUUGUCACAGCUCUAUGUUCAGCACUUUUUAGCUUACCAUUAGUGAGUAUCUGUAUUCAAUAUUGUAACCCAUCACAAGUCAACAAAAUUUACAGACCUAAAUAAAUUUAAAAGAGACAUGAUUGAAAUGAAAAAAAAAAUGAAAGAUUUCCUUCAAGGGUUUGAUAGUGAUAUUUUGAAGUCAUUGGAGCCAAUCAUUGCUAUUGAAAUCUAUAUUGAAUCUAGAGGAUCAGAGGUGCAGAGGAUUGAGAAAUGAUAUUUUGUACAACCAUUUUCUAAUAACUUUUGUGACAACUUUCUCUAUCAUACUCAUAUUAUAAUUUUACUUUAUCUCUCUAUUGUUUUGGUUUUUGUGUCAAUACAUAAUUUUCUUUGUAAGAGUAUGGUUGUCUAUAUGGUUGUCAAUCAAAUUAAUGUUCAAAUAACAUUGCUCGAGAGGAUUAGAGGGGUCAAGAGGAUCUGAGUAGUCUAGACGAUCAAAGAGGUGCAGAGGAUCAACACCACAAUUGUUCACUAGAGAGGAUGUGAUGCUUAACUGGUAUAGUGUAUAGUUGUUAUGAUGUAUAAAGUGGCGGAGUCAGGAUCAUUACAAAAUCUGGGCAAAAAAUAUUUCAACACAGGUUUACAUAAGAAAUUGCAAGUAAAUAAUCAAAAAAUUUAAAGAAAUUGUCCAAUUUAUAGGGAUUUAUAAAAGAAAUUCAGAGAAAUUUACAUAAAAAAUUGCAAAAUAUUUGGGUCGGAGCCUGAGCAACGCCCAGGCUUUCCGGGCCUUAGAACCGCCCCUGGAUGUAUAUACUAUAGAUUAUAACAAGUUGAUAGAGAUUAGUUAGUUGAAAGUUAAUAACUAGUUGUCAUUAGUUAGUCAGCUAGAGAUUAACUCUUAGUUAGCAUAACCACCUCUAUAUAUACGGUUGCUACAUUAUACAUAUUCUAUCUCUACAAUCUUCUAUCAAAACAAUUUACAUAAUUUUCAUUCAUACUCUCUCAUUUUUCUUCGAAGUUGCAAUUCACCUCACAUUAGUGUGUAGUUCUUCAACCCAGCAUAAACCAUCAAAAUAAUAUCCUUAAAAUGAUAGUAAUUGAUGACAAAUGCAUCAAGUGUACCUGCAAGGCGCAGCCUAUGUUGAUGACAAAUGCAUGAGGAAUGGCAUCAACAGCUAUCCACUCUCCGUCCUUAAGUACUUGAAGGCCACAUAUAUCUUCUUGUUGUAAAACGGUUAUGAGGUAAGCAUCAAAGUGUUUGAUUACACCAAGUGUUAAACUUGGAUCAGGGCAUGGUGGAUAAUGAUUAAGUGAGAUAACCAAUGAGUCACUAAGAUUAUCAUUGUCGAAAUAUCCACACUCCAAACCAAGCCCUUCACUAAUUAAAUUCAUGAUCCUUGAACCCAACUCCUUAAUUUUAACUGAAUAAUUCCCAACACACUCUCUGCAAAAAAAAAAAAAAAAAAAGAUCUUUAACUACAUGUGCAAAUUAGAGGUGACAAGUGAUAGCCCGUAAAUAAGUUGGUUAUCACAUUCCAGUUAGCCCCUAUAAUAGAUAAGUAAUGGAAUGAUUGCAAUGUCUUAAACAUUUAAUCAAUGUCUAUUUUAGGAUUUUAUAGUUUUAAAUAUUUUUAGUACUUUGAAACUAGUAAUGCUUGUUUAUGAUGUUUGAUGAUGUAGGUUAAGGAAUGACUCUAAAGAUGUGGGAAGCUGCAGCGUGGAUUGAAGAUGUAUCACUGAAGAUGUGAAAAGUUGCAGCGUCCUAGGACUCUAGCUGGGUCGUACAUAGUACGAGUGCGUGAGUUCAGUCUCUCCUUGCUUAAUGAGGAAUAAUAUGAGUUGUCCUCAAUGAAUGAAAUCCUAGGAAAAAUAAAAGAAUAUGCCAAUAUUUGAUAAGGAGUGAUGAAUAAGGACAACCCAUGUACUAUAAAAGGACCCCAUGUGUUAGUGCCAAGGUCCGAAAAUUCAUCAUAGAAUUGGAGAUGCCAGGUUACGGCUAGGGUUAACAAAUUUAGAGAUAUUUUCAUUGAUAUUUUCUAAGUAAUAAUUAAUUGGGUUAAAUAAGUAAAUGGUCCCCUUAAAUAUACUAAUAUUUGAUUUUAGUUUCCUUAAAAUAUUCUUUAGGUUUUUUGUCCCUCCAAAUAUUUCAUCCAUGAAAUUAGUCCCUGUUCUCAAUGUAGAGCAUGGACUAAUUUCAUGGAUGAAAAUUUUUAAAGAAAUCAAAAAUCUAAGGAAUAUUUUGAAGGGACUAAAAUGAAAUGUUGGUAUAUUUAGAUGAUUAUUUACUUAUUUAACCCUAAUUAAUUUGAGACAAAAAUAUCAAAUGAGAUCUGUAUGUAGUUGGCAUACAUAUAUUCAUGCAUUUACCUGUAUGUAGUUGGAUAUUCAGGCCACAAGUGUCAUUUACAAGGGUCAAGAGAUAAGACAAUAUAUCAGUUACUCUUAGCCCUCAUUAUAAAGGUUGGAUCAUCUGCAAAUGUAGAGAGUUCUGCAUUGGAGGUAACAAUUAAUGUACAAAUUUUAUGUAUAGCCAUUAUAAUCUCUGGUAUGUUUUAAGAGUAGGUGUUGUUUAAAAAAAAAUGCAUGUUAUCAAGAAUAACAUUUCUGAUAUAUGUUAAUAACUAGAUGCGCAAAAUUUACUUUAACAUGACAUAUAUCGAGUCUUCAAGAGAAAAAUCAUUUUUGCAGCAGUAAAUUCUGAAUUGAGUCUAAUUUACUCUGAUAUAUUGUCUUAUCUCUUGACCCUUGUAACUGAUAUAUAUUUUCUUGUAGUAAUUUACCUGUAUGAGUCUAAGUUGGUUAUCAUGUUACACUUAGCCCCUAUAUAGACAAGUAAUCGAGUGAUUGCAAUUUCUUAAACAUCUAAUCACUGUCUAUUUUAAGAUUUUAUAGUUUUAAAUGUUUUUAUUACUUUGGAACUAGUAAUGCUUGUUUAUUAUGUUUGAUGAUGUAGGUUAAGGAAUGACUCUAAAGACGUGGGAAGCUGCAGCGUGGAUUGAAGAUGUAUCGCUGAAGAUGUGAAAGAUGUGAAAAGUUGCAGCGACCUAGGACUCUAGUUUGGUCGUACAUAAUACGAGUGAGUGAGUUCAGUCUCUCCUUGCUUAAUGAGGAAUAAUAUGCGUUGUCCUCAUUGAAUGGAAUCCUAGGAUGAAUAAAAGAAUAUGCCAAUGGGAAGGUAAGAUUGGAUAAGGAGGGAUGGAUAAGGACAACCCAUUUAAAAUGACCAAAAGGUACAACUUGUAGUGGGUGGCCUUGUACUAUAAACGGACCCCCGAGUGUUAAUGCCAAGGUCGGAAAAUUCAUCUUAGAAUUGGAGAGGCCAGGUUACGGCUAGGGUUAACAAAUUUAGAGAUCUCAUUCUAUCUCAUCUUCUCCAUAUACGUCUUUUUAACACCUUUUACGUAUGUGUUUUAAAAAUAGUUGAUAGUGUAAUUAAGGUGUAUAUGAUUAUUGAUAAAUUGAGUAAUGUUAUUUAAACAUAAAUUUUUUGACAACGUAUUCUGAUAUUAUAUAAAAUGCAUCAUUUAUAACUCUGGAUAUCACUUGUGUGAGAGAGAGUAAACGUAAACUAAUCAAUAGUUGAGUUUGUUGAUAGUAUUAAGGGUUAAAUAUAUUUUUAGUCAUUAUAAAUAUAUAAACAUUUUUUUUUUCUUUGACUUUUUUUUUUUUGAUAGAAAAUUUCUUUGACUUUUAAUCCCUCCUAAAGUUUUCAAUCACCAUUUUUUAUACUUAGUUCUAAGUCAACUCAUAUGUAACCUUCAUAUUUUUUAAUGAAAUAUUUUAGAAAUGAUUAGAAUAUUAUAAGAAUCUCUAAAAAAAAUAACAAUAUGAAUUUUUAAGCGCAAAAAAUAUUAAAAAAGUUAUUUUUAAUUCAUGUUUUGUUUAAAAAUUCUACAUUCUUUUAGAGAUUCUUAUAGUAUAGUAUUCUAAACAUUCAAAAAUAUUAUUUUAAAAUAAGAAGCUUAUUCAAGAGUUGACUUAAAAGUAAUGAUCAAAAGUAAUGAUGGGAAAUUCUUAGAGACUAAGAAUCGAAGAAAAUUUUUAAGUGGAUAAAAACAAAAAAUUGAUAUAUUUAUUAGGAUAAAAAACAUAUUUAAAUCUAGCAUUAAUAAGUUAAUAUUUGAAAAAUGAAAUAAGGUUGUAAAUAGUGAAAUUGUUAUGUCAACUAUUUAAUUAAGUAGCGGACUAGUUUAAUAGAUGUUCAUUUAUAUUUUCUAAAUAAUAAUUAAUUGGGUUAAAUAAGUAAAUGGUCCUCCUAAAUAUACAAAUAUUUGAUUUUAGUCCCCCUAAAAUAUUCUUUAGGCUUUUGGUCCCUUCAAAAUUUUUCAUCUAUGAAAUUAGUCCAUGUUCUCAAUGUAGAGCAGGGAUUAAUUUUAUGGAUGAAAAAUUUUAGAGGAACCAAAAACAUAAAAAAUAUUUUAGAGGAAUUAAAAUCAAAUGUUGAUAUAUUUAGGAGGAUUAUUUACGUAUUUAACCCUAAUUAAUUUGAGACAGAAAUAUCAAAUGAGAUCUGUAUGUAGUUGACAUACAUAUAUUCAUGCAUUUACCUGUAUGUAUUUGGAUAUUCAGGCCACAAGUGUUGCCACUCCUCCAAAGGAUAAGCUGGAUGUCGAAGAGAGUCCCUCCAUAGAUGAACCUUAUCACAUUCAUAUUUCAAGGUGCUAGAAAACAUCUUGCAUGUCUUCAAAAUCUCCUCAGGAUACAAGUCGUGCUUGUAUUCAUUAGGCUUCUCAAACACCUCCUUGAAAAUACUCAUUGUUUCCUUCAUUUCAUCCAACGAGAGACCAUGAUUGAUAACCUAUUUUAAUCAAAGAAAUUUUGGGACUUCUAUUAGACAUGUGUUGACAUGUGUUGCUAUAGUAUAAUGAGCACUAAAAUUACUAAUGAAAAAUAUGUAGGGGCGAAAGUUUGAAGAAAUAUUUUGUAAGAACUAAAAAAAAAACUUACUCCCUCAGUCCUAUAAUAAUCCAGCCAUUUGCAACAAAAAAAAAUUGUAUUUCAUUUUUCAAUACAAUAUUAAUUACUUUUUUCUCUUUAUAACUCUAGUUAAUACUACUUUCAUCACUCACAAUCUACGAAGCAUGGAUACGGACACCGGACACGACACGGACACCGCGUCGACACAUCUAAUUUUUUUUAGAAAAUCACAUAAUUCAGUGUAAUUAUAUGUGUCGGUGUCGGACACCACAUGUGUUUGACACGAGGAUACGCAUUAUUCGAGGAGUGUCCAUGCUUCAUAGCUUCAAAUUCAAUAUAUACCACUUUGCAUUUAUGAUAGUAGAGAAUACAUCAAUAUUUAACAAAAGCACUUAAAACUAUUUUUCUCUCUCAUUUAUUUAUGAGAAAUGCUAAAACGCACGAAAUUAUUUGUCGUCAUUUUUGUACGAAAAAGUGUAUACUUAUUAUUUAGUUCUUUAUCUUAAUUUUAAUUUGACACAAAGUGACAAACUUUGCCUCUUCUAGAUAUAUCUUAUGAUAAAUCACAAAAAUACCUCAUUGGUGGUGCUUCUCCAAGUUUACUGUUGUCAGUCCCUGCCUCACCAAUGUCAUGUAAACCGGUGGAUCAUGCAUGUNUAGUCCUCAGGCACAGAUUUGAUGCUUGACCGGUUUGAAAUAAAUUUCUCCAUAUCUCCUUGAAGUAGCUUGAUUAUGCUUUAUUAGUAUACAAUAUAGAGUGAUAGUAAUGGCUAAAACUGGGGAGAGGAUGUAUUUAUGAUGGAGAAGAACAAUGAAUCACGUUGCAUUAUUAUAUUUUUCUGACAGCUAAAUGUGAUGCACUAUUAUUAUUGUUGCAUUAUUGUUGUUAUUAUUAUUAUUGAUAAGGAAUGCAAACAAAUGUAUGAGAAACACUUGUUAAAGAAUUAAAAUUAAAAUUGAAACGAAACAUUAGCUCGAAUUGGGGCAUUAUUAUUAUUAGGAUAUGCUAACGAGUGCACUAACAACAACCUUUAAGAACUUUAUAGAACUUAUAUAUUGUUUUUCAUUGAAUAAUUGGCUAAUAAGUUUUUCUUUAAGUUUUUUCAUUGAAUAAUGUCCUUAACAAAAAAUUUAAGUUUUGCAUUUAAAAUACUUUUAAGUUUUUGAUUACACAAGUUUUACAAAAUUUUACUAUACUUGUUUCCUUAACUAAUAAUGUCCAGGGUAUUAGUUAGCAUUUUUCUAUAAUAUUAUUAAGAAAUGCUAACAAAUGUUUUAGAACUUAAAGUUUCUAAAAAAACAAAGUAUUUAUUAAAAAAAAUCUAUCUUUUGUGACAUAAAUUUGCACAAUUUUCAAUGAACGGUUUUUUUUUUUUUUGGUACUUUAACAUAUCUCUUUAAAGGCAUUUGUUAGCAACAUUUUUCAUUAAGAUAUACAUCCUUCGUUAAGAUAUAGACCCAAAGGUGUAUCACUAGUUCAUUUGUUAGAAUGAUUAGACAUGAAAUUUUUGAUGCAUUUGUUAAGAGAAAUGAUAUUUGUCUAACUAUUUUGUGACAAUUUUUUCUUUUAUACUCACAUUAUAUUUUUUACGUUCUUAUGUUGUUUUGGUUUUUAUGUCAAUAUCUAUUUUUUUUUUCUUUCUAAAUUUAUGAUUAUUAUAUAAAUAAUUGUUUAAAUAUCACACUUCAUAUUAAAGAAACCGGGUAACGGUUUACAAAUGCGUGUACUCUUUCGCAUUUGGAAUUAGGGCAUCACAUGGUGAACUGAACGUAAUGAUCUUUCACAUGCAAUUGUACUAUUAUUUUUCUAUUUACAGCAAGAAAGUACAUUCACGUUUAAAAAAUCCAUCAAAGUUGGGUCUCAAACUCAAACAUCACCUCUGUUGCAACGUUCCGUUUAAUAAUUUUAAAUUUUUUACCAAUUAUAAACUAGAAUUUGUGGUCAACUUAAAUGUAUAUAUUUACUAUUUACUAUAAUUAUAACACAAAAAAUUAAUCGGUAUCUAACAUGGUAAUAACUAUUUAAUUGUACGUAAAUUCAAGCAUAAUGAUUUAGAUGAUCAAAUGAUAAUGUGUGUCAGGUUAUUUUAACUAUUUUUGGACUUUAUAACAAUAAUUUUAGUCAGAAAAUUAUUAUUUCUUGGCGUCAUUCAAACAAAAUAUUUAAGUGGUAUAAACAAUUGAACACGUUAUUUGGACAGAAAGGCACGUGGUCAUAAACAAUUGAACCAUAUCAGUGAAAACACAAGUAAUUAUAAAAUUAAUUUUAACUAAAAUUAUGUUUACAUUAUUAAGAAAAGUCAAAUAAAUUAUACAAAUAAAAGUUGACUCAAUUGAUAAGGAGUUGAUUUACUCACAAUUUAUCGGAUCAACUUUCGUAUAUGAUGACAUCUUUAGUAAAUGAUCUAUAGAUAUAUUUGUAAACGUUUAUUAGUUUUGAGUCUUACGUCGACCCUAAUGAAUACAUUUGUAAAUACAAUCAAGUGUUUAUUUUUUGGUGAUCAUAAAACAAUCAAGUAUUAUUUUAUGAAAGUAAAAUUCGAAUCCGAUAAGAGAAAAUAAAAUAACACAGUUUUCUAUUUGUUUCAAAUCUAUAAAUCUAUAUUAAUAUUUUAAAAAUUUGAAUCCUCUAAAAUGAGUAAAAUAUAAAGUGAAAAAAUCAAAUAUUGUUAUUUUAACAAACUUAUUAUUUAUUAUGAUUACUUAUGAUAUAUCUACUUUUAUUUUGUUAACUAAUUGUUGUUAGUAUUUGAUUUACACUUUAAAAUUAGUUGUUCGUUUUAGAGGAGGAAUCAAAUUCAUAUUUUAUAUUCAUCCAAGUUUCACGUGAACAUUUUUUUAACAAUUAUCCCUUAGUAUAUUUAUUAAUAUUAAAUUAACAGCUUUUAAAUUGGACCCAAAAAGAUGGGGUAAGAUCACAAGUCGCUGUACUUGCUCAGUUUUCUGUCUACCGAUCGUACCAUAUGUUGGGUCUGUUUGGUUAACCCAAAAAAGAGCUUUUAGCUUUUAACUUAUAGCUUAUAAGUUCGUUUGAUAAAGCUCUGUUUGGUAACACUUUUUCACCAUAAGUUUAUAGCUUAUUUCACGAGCUUAUAAGCUAUUUUUCAGAAGCUAUUCCAAGUAGCGUUUGAGCUUAUAGCUUAUAGCUUCUCACUUUUUCUUCCAAUUUUAUCCUUAUUAUUUCAUUUAAAUUGUAUUUUUAUCCAUUAUAAUUUUUAUAAUAAGCUACGUAAUAAAGACUGUUAUCCCUUUAUUCCAAUUUUUGUAUAUAUAUCAGCUAACCUUUUUUUUUUUUUUUGAAAAAAUAUAUACCUUCGUUUUUUUUUUACGAAACAAAAUACUAUUAUUCUNNNNNNNNNNNNNNNNNNNNNNNNNNNNNNNNNNNNNNNNNNNNNNNNNNNNNNNNNNNNNNNNNNNNNNNNNNNNNNNNNNNNNNNNNNNNNNNNNNNNNNNNNNNNNNNNNNNNNNNNNNNNNNNNNNNNNNNNNNNNNNNNNNNNNNNNNNNNNNNNNNNNNNNNNNNNNNNNNNNNNNNNNNNNNNNNNNNNNNNNNNNNNNNNNNNNNNNNNNNNNNNNNNNNNNNNNNNNNNNNUAAAAAAAUAGCGUUUUCGGACGGAUGUGUUUUUGUCUGAAUUUUUCGGACGGAUUUGGGACGGUUUGUAAGGAGCGUAAUUUUCGUCCCAAAUCCGUCCCAAAAUCGUGUGAAAUUUUUAUGACAUGUUCAAAAAGCUUUUUUUCCCACGAAUUUCGCACGGAUUUCAUUAAAAAAACAAAUUCGUCCCAAAUCCGUGUGAAAUAUUGAGACGGUUUUCGGACGGCCAAUAUUUUUAUUUUUAUUUAUAUAAUUUAUUAAACCUACAAAGUUUGAAGGACAAUUUCAUUUAAGCGGAUGAAUUCCCCCUUUGAUAUUUUCAUCAAAAUUGAAAGCAAAAAAUUUCCCCCUUCAAUGAAUUUCCCUCUUUAUCUUUUCAUAAAAAAUUAAACCCUAAUAUUAUCCCUUUUUCAUCUUUUUCCCUAUUUUCACUUGAACUCAAAAGAACACUAACCCUAAACCCAACAACAAAAUUUCCCCUUUUCAUUGAAAUCAAAAUCAAAAUCAAUUGAAAUUGAAUCAAUCAAUCAUGAAAUGGAACCUUAUUAGUGAAGUUCUACCUCUUCUGUUCUCACUGUGAUGUUUCCGUUCUUGUUCUCAUCGUACAUAGGUGUUGCUGCUAUUCCAGUUCCUGAAAUCGAAUCUCACUGUUAUUGUUUUCAUCUCAUCAGAUUUGUUCCUCAUCUCAUUGUUCAUGUUCAUUAUAUCACAAAUGGGUCAUGAAAUUGUUUGUGUUUGAUAACAAUUUUCUGAUAACAAAUGGGUCAUGAAAUUGUUUGUGUUUGAUAACAAAUGGGUCAUGAAAACAAUUUUCUGGAUAAUAACCAUGAUUGUAUGUGUUUGAUUUGAACAAUGUUUAGUGUUGGCUCAUGAAAUUGUUUUUUUUUUUUUUUUUUGGAUAAAUUAGUUUGGUUUUUUUAGAUUAAAGUUGGAUUUGAAUCAACUAAAAUUGAACCCCAUUAGUUUAAAGUUGGUUUCAUCUUUUUUGUUCACAUGUUUUUACUCAUGUUUUUUUGUUCUCUGAAUUGCUUUUGUUCUCAAAUGGGUCACUUUUGAAACCAUGUUUGUUCAUAUUCUUUCAUUUUCUUGUUUCUAUUAUGUGUUUUGGUUUCUUUGAAUCCAUAAUUGAAGCCAAUAGUGAAGAAAGGCGAACCACACGAAGAAGAAUCAGCCGCGACUUUGUUGUCUUCCAAUCUCAGUGGUCUUGCGAUCUACACUCUUGGGUGUCUUAAGGUUUGUUCAUUUUGUUGUUAUCAACAAGUAGAUAGGAUUUAAGUGUUUUCAUUAUCUAAAUACGGGUCUUUCGAAUUUUUACAUAUAUUUAAGUUGGUUGCUGAUUGGUUAUAGAAUCUGUAACUCCCUCUAUAGGCGUAAAUCAUGAUGACUCAUAAAACAAUAAUAAUAAUAAAUGAGAAGCAAAUCAGCAAAACUAUGACAGUAAAAGUAAGAAUUGUAUUGGCGUAGCAUAUUUUGGAGACUCAUAAUUUGUGGUUCUUUCUUGUGUAAGACCAACUUUAUACAAGAUUUAAUUUUCAAAUCGAACUUAAAUAGGAGGGUUUGGAAUACAUUUUCCAAAAUGGCUUGGGCAUAAAUCACUCCCUGUACAACAUAAAUGUUCCUUAACAUUGGCAGGAGGAGGGUCCAAUCUUUUUCUUUAGUGUAACUUUUCAUGCAUGUAGGCACAAUCUGUUGGUGCUUUUUUCAUGCUGCUAUGUGUUUUUGGAUUUUAGUUUUAGGUGUUCACUUGCUUUUUAAUAAACUUUAAAGCGCUGGAAUGACAGAUUUUGAAAAACUCAGGAAUGAAAACUAUUAGUAUCAUGUUGAUUUGUUAUUAGUAUCAUGUUAAAUUUAUUAAAUUUUGAAAAACUUUAUAGUGUCCACUUGUUAUGAUUUAGUUAUUUUAUGUUUAUUUGAUUUAUAUGAAAACUAUUAGUAUCAUGUUGAUUUGUUAGUCACUUUGAAAAUUAUUAGUUGUAAAUCCAUAGUGACAUAACAAGUUAGCAUAUUGUGAACAGUAUUGUAAGAUCUAGGACAUCAUGGACACUUUACUAUAAAAGUUAUGAAAUUUCUAGAUAUAUACAUGCAUUGCUAAAUUUAUUAACAUGAAACAGAGUAUGGGAAUUCCUGAACAUCGAAAAUGGAUGUAUAAAAGACUUCUUCCCAAUCGUGCUGGAAUGAGAACUGAAUUUGUCAGUGGUGUUAAGAAUUUUAUAGAACAAGCAAUUAGGCAACCUGAGUUUACAGAUAAUGGGGGUAAGCUUAGGUGUCCUUGCAGUAAACAUAGAAACAUAGAUUUCUUAACUCCAGGUGAGGUUACCCUUGAUUUGUAUAAGCAUGGUUUCCAACCAAGCUAUUGGUGUUGGGAUUCUCAUGGGGAGAGUUCUUUAAGCUCAAGUAGUAGAAAUGCAAAUAAUGUGAACAGAGAAAGCACUUGCAACCAGCCGUCAAGUUUUGAGUCACAAAGAAAUAACUAUGAGGCUAUGAUUGUUGAUGAUAUUAGGCCAGAAAAUUUGGACCAAUUUGAGCCACAACAGGAGGAACCUCCAAACAGGGAAGCCAAACUCUUUUAUGAUUUGUUACAAUCUGCGCAACGACCAUUGUGGGAGGGUUGUGAUACCCACUCUGAAUUAUCUAUGGCGGUUGAACUGUUGCCAUUGAACAUGAUGAUGAUGAAGGAAUUGAGCAAGAAGGCCUUGAAGAAAUAGAGCCGUAUGGAAAUGAGUAAGUUAAAUAUUAUACUUCUGAGAAAUUAAUUUUUUUUUGUUUGUAGAAAAUAAUUGAUGCAUGUAUAUUAACAAUUUGUAUUAACAGGUUCAAUCCAUCAUCUGCUAUUCCUUUCUUGACGAAAUCCAUUAAGAGCAAAUUGGAUUGGUUUUGUCCUACAUGGGGACAUGCAUCUCUUGACCAGAAGUUGUUAUGGUUUACUGAAUUUAAGGUAAUAGUAAUAUAAUUAGUAAUAUAUUUCUUUAAGAAGAAUACUUAGCUACAACGCUUUAUCAUAUUUUGGUAGUUAAGAUGAAUAUUAGUGUAAAACAGUGCAAACAAUGCACAAAGUACUUUAUCUAAGUGUUUUUUUCAUUAGUUAGAUGUAAUUUACUAAACAAUUAAAGACUCUUGAAAUUUUUGAAUUUCUAACAUGUUAAUUGGGUGCAAUUUUGUAGAAGUAUUGUAAAUGGCAUCCUAAAUAUGAUGCUAAGAUUCGACAAAUUUUUGAAAUCAAGGGAGAAGCUAGAUUCAGAGGUAUGAUGUUUCAAGAGAGAAAAAAUUAUGCAAAAAAUUCUGAAUACAGGCCAAAGUACAUCCCUGAGCCAGUAUGGAAUCAAUUAAUACAUUAUUGGGCAUCCGAUAAAAAUUUUAAGAAUUUAUCAGUGGCAAACACUGCAAAUCGUGCUUCAACUCAAGGUAGCUCCAUUCAUACUGUUGGUUCUAUAUCUAUGGGUGAGAAGGAACGUAGGAUGGUAAGACACAUGAUAUUUUCUCACUAAUUUAUGAAAAACAUAUUGGAAAUUUUCUCAUUCAAGUUAUGGAAAAAAUGUAGGAGAAUGAAAUAGGAGUCAAGCCUCCAGUGGAGGAGGUAUUUGCUAUUUGCCAUAUCAGAAAGGAUAAGAAAUGGGUUGAUAGUAGAGCUGAGCAUGCCUAUGUAAGUAGCUCUUUAACAUUACAUAUUUAUCUAUAAUUUAGUUAUGAUAAUAGAGCUGAGAAAGGCAGAAAGCUGGCCACCACACCUGGUAUCAAACAGACCUGCUAACAAAGCAGCCUGCGCACGGCAACUAGCCGAACCAAAACCAGAUUUAUCUAUGAUUUUACUAAAAUUACAAAUUGUAAUUGGUUGUUAGUUAAAUGACUAACAUAAUUCAAAAUUGCAGGGAGCUUUUAAGAAGAGAAAAGCAGAGCUUUUGGAAAUAUCUAUGUCUCAAAAUCAAGAGGAAGAAGGAUUGUCUUCCGAAAGCCAUAAUAAUAUGCCAGAUGACUUGACUAUUUGGAAGGAAGUAGCUCCUAAAGGUAAAAAAGGAAAAUUAUAUGGUUUAGGUUCUAUAGGAACAAAUACUUCGAAGUAUACUAUUGGUUCAUGCUCGAAUGCCUUUAAGGAAAAAAACAUGGAACAAGAGCUCUUAAAAUGGAAAGAAAAGGUAAAAGAGCAAGAACGUAUAAACCAAGAGCAAAAACAAAAAUUAGAGCAGCAACAAAAAAGAAUUGAGUCAAAUGAAAGCAUGCUUGCAACUUUAUUUGAAAAGUUGAAUAUGCCAUUGCCUCCAAACUUUGCUUGUGCGACACCUAUGCAAGAUGAACCAAAUGAUGUUGGUGAAGCCUCUAAUGAAAACAAUGAUGAUAAUUUUGGAUUUGAAUGAUAAGUUUGGCCCAACUGAUUUUCUGUUGUUCAACUGUUUUGUGGUUGUUGCUACCAGUUUCCCUGUUUUUUUUUUUUGAUGAAUUAUGUGUUUGACUACUACUGUCUUGUAUUUGGCUUUGUCAUGGGAGUUCCUUUUGGUUGGAGUUAUGUUGUCUCCCCUAUCCCUGCUAGUGCACUUCAUUGUGUUACUUUUAUUGUUGAGUAUUGACUAAUGAACAAUUUAGCCAUGUUAGUUUGUGAUAUACUGAGUUAGAACAUUGAGCACUUAUAUAAAUCUAGUUUAUAUAAUUUUGUUUCAGACAAUGAGCAUUUGUUUACUCUUGAAUUAUUAUUUAUUUUUAUUUAAUUUAGUAUGUAUUAUUGAAUAUCAAUUUUACAUAUUGGAAUUUAUCCCAAAAUCAUUAAAAAAUAUGAAUUGUGGCAAUUUUGUACAGGAAAAAAAAAUUAUAACCACAAUUGAAAAGCGUGGAAAAUAUUUUAAAGCAAUUUAAAUCCGUCCGAAAAUCGUUUGAAAAAUUAUCUAGAAUCCGUCUGAAAACCGUAGGAAAUUAUAACUCAGUUCCGUCUGAAAAUCGUAGAAGGAAAUUAUAACUCAGUUCAGUCUGAAAAUCGUAGGAAAUUAAAUUAAAUUCCGUUUGAAAUCCGUAGGAAAUUAUAACUCAGUUCCGUCUGAAAAUCGUAGGAAAUUAAAUUAAAUUCCGUCUGAAAUCCGUUUGAAAUUUUGUCCAAUAUCCCACAACUGUGUUUGUGCGAAAACCGUACGAAAUCCGUCUGAAAUAUAUUUCGGACGGAAUUUGGGACGAAAAUACGAUUUGCGACGCGGCUUUUUCGGACAACACCCAAUCUGUCCGAAUUCCGUCCGAAAUAGCAUUUCCGUCCGAAUUUCGUGGGAAAGUUCCGUAAAUUCCGUCCCAAAACCGUCCGAAAUUUCGUCCGAAAAUGACCUUUUUUUAGUAGUGUUAUGUCAUUUUACACUUAUCAGCUAGUUGAACCGCUAUUUUUACCAAACACUUCAGUUAGCUUAUCAGCUAAAAGCUAUCAGCUAGCUUAUCAGCUAUCCGCUAUUUUUACCAAACAGAGCCGUUGUCUUUUAUUCAUCAUCAGUGGAUCUUAUCUUUUGAUGGGCUUGACUGCUAUUCCAAUAAAAUUGUGAUUGUUCACUUGUUCUGUUGUGUUUCUAGUUUUGGGUGUUAUCGUUUUCUAUCUCCAUAUAUGACACGUGAAACGAGGGAUCAAAAGUUGAGGAAUAUGAAAUUACAAUGACGUAAUUUAUACAGAUUCUGCUGACGUGAUUGAAUGAAGGAUCAAAAGUGGAGGAAUAUGAAAUUUAUCGUUUUCUACUUUUGAUUUGUGUUUAUAAUUGUUUCAUACACUUUGUUUUGGUUGCUUGAUUAUUCCUUACUCCACACACAUCAAGUUUGUUAUUGGUGUGAGUUUUCAUCGAAUUCACAACAGGAUUGUUCUUGUUGAUUCCACUCAAGUAACAUAUUUAGUUUUACGGGUACAAUUUGGUCAAAUUGCAAAUUGUGAAUUUAUUCAUGAACAAAAACGAAAACCAACGUUUGAUUUACAGAAAAAAAAAAUAGUGACCCAUUUAGCAUAGAAAAUUGAAAUAAAAAAUGUAGGAAGAGAGAAGAAAAAUAUUUAGAGCAGUUUGUGAAGAUUUGUGUGAUUAAGUUGUUGGAACGGUAACCAGCCAAAGUUUGUCUCAUCUCAUCUUGCCAUAAUUACUUGUCCUAGUAAAGGAGUGUUCUUGUUGAUUCCAUCAGAACAAAAAUGGUUGUUGUAGUAAUUUCAAGCAAUUACAAUGAAGAGUUAAUGUCAAAAUUGGUGGUGCUGGUGGGGUUUAUUUGUGUUGGUUGAUGAUUGUAAGGUUGAAGACAAAGGGGAAAAAAUUCAGUGUAGAGAGACUAUGAUAAAAUCAAUGUUCCUUUUUAAUCUAACGGUAAACAUUUACUUUCCCAUGAUGGGAAACAACUCUCCUUUCCCAUGUUAAACCUCACCGAAAUUACAAGAACAUAAUCUGAAUUUUGCCACAAAUAAAAGGCUUCAAUUGUUAGGGGAAAAUGUAACGUUCAAUAUGAGCGCUUGAGAUCCGAACCGAUAGCCCCACCUUAGCUGUAAAUUGAUGUGGAGACUAACAAACUCCACCUCAAGAGAGCAGAAAAAUGGUGAGACUCCCACAACUCCGGGAGUAAAACAUCAAUCUUUCUCAACUUGACCGUUGUUAAAGAUCUCACAAUAAAGCGUAAAAACUUCAAUUUUUGCUCGCUUUAAGCCAACACAAAAGAGUUCCUUUGAUCAAUCAUAGUCAUUGUUGAUCAAUAUAUCCUGCUUAGGAUCUCGAUCGAAUAUGGAUAUACAAAAGUUAAUAUUAUUUUUAUCAUUUCAUUUUAAAUUAGUUGUCGAUAUUAAAAAUUGGGCUAUUUGUUAGAUCAUUUUUAUUAUUAUUUUAAUUAUAUACUGUUCAUGAAUAUUAAAAAUAUUAUCACAUUAUCAUUAUUAUAAAAAUAAUAAUUUCAAAUUACAUACACAAAAUAUUUCAUGAAUUGAUAAUUUAAAUUGGUCAAACCUAACACAUUUUGAAUAAUUUUUAGAAUGUAUUUGUUUUUCCUUCUUAUUUUCAUUUUCAAGAAAUGAAAAUAUGAAAUAAACAGUUAAACUGAUGGCAGAGCAUCAUGCGAUAUUUUUGCUAUGUUUUUAGUAAUUUUUCUUUGCAUUUGAAGACAAAUAAGAUGAGAGUUAGAGGAGUUGUUGAUAAUUUUAGAAAUAUAUUGUAUUGUUUUCAAUCGAGACAUUGUAAUUCAGUUUUAUCCAAGAUCAUACAACUCCAUAGGUGUUUUGAGUGUUUUGUAGUGAGGAAUCAUGUAAAUCAUCAAAUCAAGACAUCAUGUGAAGGAUCAAGGAUGAAGAAUUGAAGAUCAAGGGUUCUUAAAAGGUUGUUGAAGACAAUACAAAGUGAAGAAAAUUGAUUUCAAGUUCCUAGGUGUUUUCAGGCAAAAGAACGAUCGAAAACAGGAAGAAAACGCAAGAAAUCGCACCUGAGAGGCUGCCUCAGGCGCCCUGCGCCUGGGAGUGGUUUGGGGAAGCAUUUUGCUUCUGCCCCAGGCACCCCGCGCUCAGUUUUCUCGACUUAAACCCUAAGCAACCCAUGCUAUAAAUAGAUUCGUAAACAUUGACGGUUCAGAACAAGGGUCAAGCAUCAUAGAUUCAUGGCGGAAUUUCUCCUCCUUUUAUUCUUGUUGGGGUAUAUUUUUCUUUUGUUUUGUUUUGUUAUUAUGUAUGUUGUCAUGAGCAACUAAACAUCUUGAUUAAGGUUCCAGGAUGAGCCCCUUCUUAUUUGUUGGAAUUUAUUAAUAAAGUUUUUAUUCAGUUUAUUUCUUUUGUUGUGUUGAGAUUUAAAUUAAGUCGUUGUUGUUCUUAAUUAUUUUUGCAAUUGGUUAACUACAAGAGUAACUUUGUAAAAUGAUCUAUAGGGUAAUAGUAGGCACUGACAAUCCGAAAAUCUCCAAGUUCAUUGGUCUUUUAUAACUUACUAUUUUUUAGGUUAAGUUUGUGUUGUCUCAGUAUAAUUGUCUUUUGUUAGCGUAGUACAUGACUCUGAUUGGUGCUACACCAGUUAACCUAGGAAUGUUAGAAAGAAUAGUAUCAUCGUGACACAUUAAAUCAAUGAUUCACGAAAUAAAUUGUUUGAUUUCUUAAAAGAUAAAUAUCAUUCAAAGACGAAGGGGGAUUCUAGGAAACCCUAAUCGUCGUUAGUCAUCUGAAUCUCAAAACCCAAUCUCGCAUUGGGCAGAGCAAUUAAAACCCUGCAAUUCUAAUCAUCUUUUCUUUACUUUUCCGUUUAAAAUAAGUUUUGUUAAUUAUUAAGUUGAACGGCAAUCUCUGUGUAGAACGAUACAACUUACUACUUUAUUAUUUAUUGCGAUUUGGUGUACUUACCAAUUUCGUAAAAAAACCAAACACUAUUAUUUUUUUAAAGAUAUUUCUUCCUCUGAGUAAAUCCAUAGUUGUAAUAUAAUUUACUAAUUAAAGGGUUUAAACUGCCCCAUUAUUACAUCAUUAUUUUUUCCUUCCACAAUAUUUCAUUUAAUUCUUUGGUGCCUCAAAUGAUUUCAGCAGCAGGUAUGAGUCACCAAGUGUGUUAAAGAAUUGCUUGAGGAACUCCUUGUAUUUAAAAGACUUUAAAAUAGGUUGGUUGUUCUCAUCAGUGAGAUCUUCUGCUGGCUCUAUGAGACAAUCAUCUAAUGGAGCUAUGAAAAAGGCAGCAGAUGUGCGAGUAUGACUUGAAUUGGUAACAGCUCGAUGCUCAGCACUUUUUAACUUACCUUUACUAAUUAUCUGUACCACCAAAUAUUGUAACCCACCAAAAAUCAACAAAAUGAUAAAGUACAUAAAUAACAAAGAUACAUAAUAGUCCAUGGGUGGAUAACUGAUGUAUUUCAUUAGGUCAAUCAUUAAGUGUACCUCCAAUAGAUGUCCUAUGUUGACGACAAAUGCACCAGGAAGAGGCUCAACCGUGAUCCACUUUCCAUCCUUUAAUACUUGAAGACCACUUACAUCAUCUUGCAUUAAAAUGGUGAUGAGGUAAGGAUCUUUGUGUUUGGAUAAACCUAAUGUCAAACUUGGUUAAGGGCACGGUGGAUAAUGAUUAAUUGAGGUAAUCAAUGAUCCGGUAAGAUCGUUGUCAAAAUAUCCACGCUGCAGACCAAGCCCUUCACUAAUCAAAUCCAUGAUCCUCCAACCCAACUCCUUAAUUUUAACCGAAAAAUCUCCAACACACUCUCUGCAAGAAAGCAUACCGAUCAAUUAUAAUUUUUAACUACAUAUGCAAAUUAAGAGUGACAAUAUUAAUGGAUUGAAUACAAUGGAAGGACUUAUGCAAUCAAAUUCUUAUCAUUGGCAAAAUGAGAAUAUUGAGCCUUUUUUUUUUUUUUAGUCUUUUUAUUUAUUUUACACACCAUUUGUUUAUUUUUCUUUACCUGUAUGUAAUUGGAUUUUCAGGCCAUAAGUGUUGCCACUGGUCCAAAGGAUGAGAUGGGUGUCUAAGACUAUCCCUCCAUAAAUGAACCUUUUCAGUUUCAUAUCUAAGACUGCUAGUAAACUUCCUACAUGUCUUCAAAUCAUCAUUAGCAUACAUGUUUUGCUUGUACUCAUUAGGCAUCUCAAACACCUCCUUGAAAACACUCAUUGUUUCUUUCAUUUGAUUCAUUGAGAUUCCAUGAUUG
rnacentral:lncRNA from 1 species